rnacentral:rRNA from 1 species
GAUUGAACGCUGGCGGCAGGCUUAACACAUGCAAGUCGAGCGGUAACAGGAGAAGCUUGCUUCUUGCUGACGAGCGGCGGACGGGUGAGUAAUACUUAGGAAUCUGCCCAGUAGUGGGGGAUAGCUCGGGGAAACUCGAAUUAAUACCGCAUACACCCUACGGGGAAAAGGGGGCACUUUGUGCUCUCGCUAUUGGAUGAGCCUAAGUCGGAUUAGCUAGUUGGUGGGGUAAAGGCCUACCAAGGCGACGAUCUGUAGCUGGUCUGAGAGGAUGAUCAGCCACACCGGGACUGAGACACGGCCCGGACUCCUACGGGAGGCAGCAGUGGGGAAUAUUGGACAAUGGGGGCAACCCUGAUCCAGCCAUGCCGCGUGUGUGAAGAAGGCCUUUUGGUUGUAAAGCACUUUAAGCAGUGAAGAAGACUCUAUGGUUAAUACCCAUAGACGAUGACAUUAGCUGCAGAAUAAGCACCGGCUAACUCU